UGUUGAAUGAUAUUUCAUAUCUUUCACAUUUGUUAUAACUGGGCUGCGUACUGCCUGCGAAUUUGAACUUCAGAGCUGAAGGUGCGAGUGGAGAAAUAGUCCCAAUAUCAUAACAAUCUUAAAACUUCUAAAUAUACCCGUGUGUGUACCCGUGUGCGUGCGUGUGUGCAAGCGCGUGCUCGCGCGUGUGCAUGUAUGUAUGUAUGCGCGUGCGUCUGUGUAUUUUGAAUUUAAAAUGUUUUAACUCGGAAGGAUCUGGAUCACAGGUCAUUUCAUCUGAGAUCAAUCCGCACGCAACAGCUGGAAUCACUUACUGAUUCACACAAGUCAGCCGUUUCCUCAAGUUCACGUCAGAGCGGAGAUGAUGUGAGGGGCAGACCCGAGACAUAGCGAGACAGUCUCUGCUUGGACUGGCUGAGGAAAGUCUCCUAAAAUGGCCCUGAAGAUGUUCUGACUGACGUUGGAGGCUUUUUGGACUGUUUUAUGCCCUCUAUUUAAAGAAGAUUUAAUUCUGUAUGUUCAGUCUGUAUGAUAAGUGAAUAAGUGAAUAAAAAGCUUUUGUUUUUA